rnacentral:misc_RNA from 1 species
UAGCUCUUCAAGGGACUUGUAUGGUCCAUUAGCUGAAACUAGUUCUUCUUUAGGCUGUAAUCUUUGUUGUGGGAUUUGAUUAAUCUUGUCAUGAUCAUCCUUCAAUAGUGCCCAAUCAAAGAUGUUCAUAUUCUCCUUCAGUCUUUCUUUCCUAAAGCUCUUAACUACAAAACUUGUUCCUUGCUCAUACGCCCAUCGCAGACAAACCUGAGCAACAGUCUUGCCACGAGUCUUUGCAAUCUCAUUUAGUACUUCAUUGUCCAUGACUAAACUGCUGCCCCAGCGAGUCCCCUUUGCUCCUAGAGGAGAGUAAGCAGUUACUACGAUGUCAUUAGCCUUGCAGAAUUCUCUAAGCUUCUUCUGUUGCCAGAGAGGGCUCAUCUCCACUUGAUUUACUGCAGGAGGGAUAUU